UCCAAUGGAUUUUAGUUAUAUAAAAAAAAUGGAUCUGAUGGAUCUGAUGGAUCCAUCAGAUCCAUCGGAUCCAUUUUUUUUAUAUACCUAAAAUCCAUUGGAUC
rnacentral:miRNA from 1 species